rnacentral:antisense_RNA from 1 species
CUUCACCGACCCCAGGUACAAGGGCCGUUCGGGAUCGCGCCCUUGCCCGUAUGCCGCCUGCAGUGCCCCGGCCUC